UGGGGAAUAUUGGACAAUGGGCGCAAGCCUGAUCCAGCAAUGCCGCGUGUGUGAAGAAGGCCUUCGGGUUGUAAAGCACUUUUAUCAGGAGCGAAACGCUGUCGGCUAAUACCCGGCGGAACUGACGGUACCUGAGGAAUAAGCACCGGCUAACUUCGUGCCAGCAGCCGCGGUAAUACGAAGGGUGCAAGCGUUAAUCGGAAUUACUGGGCGUAAAGCGUGCGUAGGCGGUUUCUUAAGUCUGCUGUGAAAUCCCCGGGCUCAACCUGGGAAUGGCAGUGGAUACUGGGAGGCUAGAGUGUGUCAGAGGGUGGUGGAAUUCCCGGUGUAGCGGUGAAAUGCGUAGAGAUCGGGAGGAACAUCAGUGGCGAAGGCGGCCACCUGGGACAACACUGACGCUGAGGCACGAAAGCGUGGGGAGCAAACAGGAUUAGAUACCCUGGUAGUCCACGCCCUAAAGCGAUGCGAACUGGAUGUUGGUCUCAACUCGGAGAUCAGUGUCGAAGCUAACGCGUUAAGUUCGCCGCCUGGGGAGUACGGUCGCAAGACUGGAAACUCAAAGGAAUUGACGGGGUCAUAGCUGUUUCC
rnacentral:rRNA from 1 species